rnacentral:rRNA from 1 species
CCCUACGGGGCGCAGCAGUCGCGAAAACUUCGCAAUAAGCGAAAGCUUGACGGGGCCAUCCCGAGUGCCAUCUGCUGAGGAUGGCUUUUACCCAGUAUAGAUAGCUGGGGGAAUAAGGAGAGGGCAAGUCUGGUGUCAGCCGCCGCGGUAAUACCAGCUCUCCGAGUUGUGGGGACGUUUAUUGAGCCUGAAGCAUCCGUAGCCGGCUGGGCUAGUCCUCUGUUAAAUCCAGCGAUAAAUCGUUGGCCUGCGGGGGAUACUGCUCGGCUAGGGGGCGGGAGAGGUCGUCGGUAUUCUUGGGGUANGGGUGAAAUCCUGUAAUCC